rnacentral:rRNA from 1 species
GAACGAGAAAGGGGAGCAAUCCCUGAGUAAAGUGGCGACCGGNGUGAGUAACACGUGACCAACCUACCCUCGAGUGGGGAAUAACUCCGGGAAACCGGGGCUAAUACCGCAUAACAUCUCCGGCUCGGAAGAGCUGGCGAUCAAAGGAGCAAUUCGCUUGAGGAGGGGGUCGCGGCUGAUUAGCUAGUUGGCAGGGUAAUGGCCUACCAAGGCGAAGAUCGGUAGCCGGCCUGAGAGGGCGCACGGCCACACUGGAACUGAAACACGGUCCAGACUCCUACGGGAGGCAGCAGUGGGGAAUUUUGCGCAAUGGGGGAAACCCUGACGCAGCAACGCCGCGUGGAGGAUGAAGUCCCUUGGGACGUAAACUCCUUUCGACCGGGACGAUAAUGACGGUACCGGUGGAAGAAGCACCGGCUAACUCUGUG